rnacentral:rRNA from 1 species
GAGGAGGAGCCCGCGCACGAUUAGCUAGUUGGUAGGGUAACGGCCUACCAAGGCUAUGAUCGUUAGCUGGUCUGAGAGGAUGGCCAGCCACACUGGAACUGAGACACGGUCCAGACUCCUACGGGAGGCAGCAGUGGGGAAUCUUGCACAAUGGGCGAAAGCCUGAUGCAGCGACGCCGCGUGGGGGAUGAAGCUUCUCGGAGUGUAAACCCCUUUCGACCCGGACGAAUGCCCCGCAAGGGGACUGACGGUACGGGUAUAAGAAGCCCCGGCUAACUACGUGCCAGCAGCCGCGGUAAGACGUAGGGGGCCAGCGUUGCUCGGAAUUACUGGGUGUAAAGGGUUCGUAGGCGGUGUGGCAAGUCGGGAGUGAAAUCUCUGGGCUCAACCCAGAGUCUGCUUCCGAAACUGCUGUGCUUGAGUGUGGGAGAGGCGCGUGGAAUUGCAGGUGUAGCGGUGAAAUGCGUAGAUAUCUGCAGGAACACCCGUGGCGAAAGCGGCGCGCUGGACCACUACUGACGCUGAGGAACGAAAGCUAGGGGAGCAAACAGGAUUAGAUACCCUGGUAGUCCUAGCCCUAAACGAUCAGGACUUGGGGUGCCACCCGUUCGGGUGUCGUCCCGGAGCUAACGCGUUAAGUCCUGCACCUGGGGAGUACGGUCGCAAGACUGAAACUCAAAGGAAUUGACGGGGGCCCGCACAAGCGGUGGAACAUGUGGUUCAAUUCGACGCUACGCGAGGAACCUUACCUGGGCUCGAAAUGCUUCUGACAAGCUGUAGAAAUACGGCCUUCCCGCAAGGGACAGGAGUAUAGGCGCUGCAUGGCUGUCGUCAGCUCGUGUCGUGAGAUGUUGGGUUAAGUCCCGCAACGAGCGCAACCCUUGUCCCUAGUUGCUACGCAAGAGCACUCUAGGGAGACUGCC